AUGAGAGCCCACAUUGGAGCACAAGGCUGUUCACAGUGCAGAGCAGCUGCCAGCAUGACACCUGUCAGCUUGCUGUGGGCAGUCAUGGUCUCCACCUGCCUUGGACCAAGCCUGGCCCAGACCGUCACUCAGUCUCAACCUGAAAUGUCUGUACAGGAGGCAGAGACAGUGACCCUGAAGUGCACAUAUGACACGAGUGAGAGUCAGUAUUAUUUGUUCUGGUACAAGCAACUUCCCAGCGGGAGGAUGAUUUUCAUUAUUCUCCAGGAUGCUUAUAAGCAACAGAAUGCAACUGAGAAUCGCUUUUCUGUGAACUUCCAGAAAGCAGCCAAAUCCUUUAGUCUCAAGAUCUCAGACUCACAGCUGGAGGAUGCUGCAGUGUAUUUCUGUGCUUUCAGGGGUGCACACUGA